UUGAUUUCUCCAACUAACACCAAAGGCCCAUUACUCAAAAGCUCUGGCUAGAAUUACUUUUGGGGUCAUCCAGCGUAAAAAUAUUACCAAGGAUCUCUCCAGUUCAGUACCAAUGUCCCCCUUCCCCUCUCUCUUCUCUCCUAUCCCCCCAAAAAAUAAAGGUACAACAAGGAUUCUGGCAAUGUAAGCACGAAACAGAAUCAUACCAGUGCAACAAGACACUGCUUAUGGUAGGCAGACCUUGAUUGUCUUGGAUACAAAUUGACAAAAUUACCUAAAACUUCAAAGUGCUGACUGAAGUGGAAUUGGACCCACAAUUUCAGUGCACAUAAUUAUGAAACCCUAGGUUAUUUUGGUCAAGUUAGUCUAUUGCAGAUAAGCUACAACAGCUCUCCUAACUGCAUAGCUGCUAACCCCAUCAACUUCCCUCUCAACUUAUCUUGGUUUCUUGUAAUUCCAAUUUCCCAUGCUUAACUCACUUCUUUACCCACAAUCACCCAUUCAACACAUUGGGCCGUUGAUGUGACAUAUGCUUCUGAUUAACACCCUAACUAAUCAGUGACUAUUUCUGGCACAG
rnacentral:misc_RNA from 1 species